ACUUUUACAAGCUACAGCACUACAGCAGCUCCUUGGAUCAGACAGUGGAGCCCCACGUUGUGCCUGGGGAGGGAAUGAACGAUUCUUUCUUCCAGAAGAGAGCAGAGACUCCUGGCUGGUCUCCAUCAGGGAGCCAUAUCGGGUGGAGAGUUUUGUGUGUCUGGGAGCAAGGGCAAACCAAAUCUUUCUGCUUUUCCUGAACAUGGAGCACUUAGGAACGUGGCUCAGGAAAUGGGACACUUUCACAUGGAGGAUAUUCCCAUUGGAAAAAUGAUGGUGUGGUCAAAAACUGUUCUAAUCUACAGAGAAAAGUGCCAGAUUUCCUGAAUCUUUUCCCUUGUUUGAUGAGAAGAUUUGACAGAUAUUUAUCUUGGAAUGAGCACUUUUAUCUUCAAAUGCAGUUUCUAACACGAAAAGAUAUUUUUGGCUGAAACCAAAGUCUUGUGAAAGCCGUCACAACUUGCAAAAUUCCCUCAAAGAGUGUAGAAAAGGAAUUCAGGAGCCAAGCGCACCCAGCAAGAGCAGAUGGCUGCGGCGUUAUCUGUCACCGUGGAUCUCAGAGCAGAUGGAUGCUGCAUAAACAUCUCACAACCAUGGCUAUUAUUGAUGCAACUACUAUUAAUACUAUUGGUGAGUGUUCUGUGAACCCAAACACUGCGCUGGGGUAAGGAACACAAAGCAGAGUUAGCUGAUUGCAGGGCUGCCAAUUCAGGGUGGCUAUCAGUAACACUAUCUGCCAUUACAGCUAAUGAUGCAAUGGCAACACAUCUUCAUUUCCAAGGGAAAGGGUUGGGGGGAUGAGUCAGAGCCCAGGGAAAGCUGAGGGAGCUGGAGAGGAUGCCCAGCUUCAGAGAAAAUUGUCUCAGGAGACUAAAAAACAGUGACAUUAUUGAACUAUGGGUCUUGGGAGAAGCACUUUGGGCCUGUAGCUGUUUUGGGGCAUGUCAGCUCUGUGUCUGACUCAGGCUUUGCAGCUUUCUGGGCUCUGAAUUCAGGUGGCUGGAGCAUUGGGCCAGGGCAUUUUGAACUGUAUGGUUUGUGCCUUAGAGCCAAAGGAGAGGCUUUAAUUGUGGGAUCUCAGUCCUGCUACUUCCCUGCUCUCUCAUUGCAACUCUGCUCCUGACCUGCUCUGGGUCCUUCCAGAAACCUGUGCCUCCAUCUGUCUUGUCUAUUUUGACUGCAGGGGUUUUUGGGCAGGGACUUGGCUACAUGUCUGUGCAGCUCAGAGCACAAGAAGGGUCUGGGGCUGGUGGUCAGGACCUCUGGAUCCUGGGACAAUGCUGGUCAGGAGUCAUUGGAGAUGCUGGGCAGGAGUGGCUGGAGGUGCUGGUCAGGAGUCACUGGGGAUGCUGGUUGGAGCUCAGGGCGCUCCAGGGGCAGGAUUUGUGUGUCCUGACCUGAGACCUGCUCAUGUUCAAGCCUUUCCACAGCCUGCUGUUUCCCUUUGAGCUGGUGCAGCAUGAGAUGACUUGUUUCAUUUUUUUCCGCUGUAAGGAUUAUGGAGAGAGCUGGAGGUGUAUAAACAUGUUUGACUUUCCUGUGUCUGUGUCAGGGUGAGUGAAACUCACCCAGAAUGUGGCUCUGAGAGAAGGGCCUAUUUCCCCCUCUGGGUGUAAAAGGAAUACUCUCAGUUUGGAAGCCCCUAAAUCUUCCCAGUAUUCAGUUCCCUUCCCUGGAAGGUUGUGCGGCCCUGGGAGAGCUGGAGGAGCUGUCAUCCCUGAGGUAUUCAGAGGCUGCCUGAACAAGGUCCUGGAAUAACAGUGAAGUCUUCUCAGGAGGGCUAGACACCUCCAGAGGUCCUUUAAACCCCAAAUUCUCUGCCAUUUGUAAAAACCCCUUUAUGUAUGUACCUGAAUCUUAGAUCAUUUACAUACCUAAGAAACUCGGGCCUAGAUCUUUCUGGUCCAAAAAAACCUCUUUAAAAAACCUGGGCUGGCCUAUGAAUGGCUUUAGAAAACAUUUCCCAUCUGUCUCUGUCGAAUACAAUGAGGGAGUCAGUGGUUCCUGCCCGAUACAACAACAUGGAAAGAUUCAUGGUGUGUGUUUUACCCCCCAAAGAAUUUCUUGGCUUCCCAGUGCUUUGUUAAUGUGCAUUGAUUAUGUUUACUGUGCCGUUAGAAAGUCAUUUAGGGAUUUAUUGGGCUGGCUUUAAAUACUGAAAGUGAGUCAUUACCCUGACCCACUUGUGCCUGAGCCUAAAGCGAGUAAAGGAGAGUGAGACUUUGCUCCAGUGGUGAAAACCCUCCCAGGAAACUCGGUUUUGAGGACAACAAAUGAAAAAGGGCCUGUAAAGGCACAUCACUGCAAGUGGAAUGCCUUAAAUCCCUCUCCCAUCCCCCUCGAUCAGAGAUAAUAACAGGAUAGCAACAGGAAUUCCGACUGGAUGGUGUGAGAGCUGGAGAACAAACCCAGCCAUGCAGGCAAAGCCUGGCUCUCCCUGCCAGUGACAGGAGCGAGGGAUUUCUCACUGAGGGAUUCCCACUGCAGAUCAAUGGGGCUUGGCUCACUGCCUCCUGUCAGAAAUCUGAACGUCUCUCCUCAGAUCCAGACGAUUAUGGGUGAGACAUGUUGGCAGUUUCCCUUCAAACAGAAGGGAGAUGAUGGAGUUUUUCUUAGAAUUUGGGAUUUGGCUCAACUGGAAUCACAGGAUGGGCCAGUAGCCAAGGAAAAUGUGAACCCAUUCUGGAAGGACCAUUCAUGUUUUUGUGGGUUUUAAAAAUUGUGUUGCUUCAAGGCCAUGCUGAUAACAGGAACAGUAAUGAUGGUAAGACCCUGAGAUGUGCAUGGCCAGUUUGGUUCCUCCCAGCUCACAGUCCAAGCUGGGAUGUUUGGCUCCUUCUCUGACAGCUCCCAGUGGUC